rnacentral:lncRNA from 1 species
CGCAACUAGGGUUGCCACACACGCCAAGUGGAGGAGAAGAGCCUGCUGUGUGCGCGCACCUGACAGUCACCGGCUUCUCUUUACGUUUCCAAUAGGAAGCGCACACUACGCUGUGGGAACAAAAACACCAGGUGUCUGCUAUGGCCAAGGCAGAUAAGGUCUUUCUCUCCAACAGGAUCCAGAGAUGAGCCACUGGUACUAACACCCAACGGCUGAUGAAUACGUCUGCUGAGGGACACGUUCUACAAAACAAUGAAGUUUGCUGCAUCAACUGCAUUUUCCUUUCAUGAAAAAUUUCUCUGUACCAUGCAGUGGUGUUUGACAGCAUGUUACCCACAGUAGAAUUACUUUCAAAAUCUGAGUCAAUCUUCUCAAACCCUGCCGCUGCUUUAUCAACUAAGUAUGCACUACUGUAAAUCUUUGAUCACUUCAACAAUGUUCACAGCAUCUUCGCUGGUAGAUUUCCUCUUAAAAAACCACAUUGCUCAUUCACAAGAACCAAUGCCUCAGCAAUUUACGUUUUCUCAUGAGACUGCAGUAAUUCAGUCACAUCCUCAGGCUCCAUGUCUAAUUCUAGUUCACUUGCUAGUUCCACCCCAUCUGCAGUUACUUCCUCUACUGAAGUCUUGGAAUGAACUUCUUCCAAACUCCUGUUCAUGUUGCAUUUUGACCUCCUUCCAUGAAUCACCAAUGUUUUUAAUGGCAUCUAGAAUGGUGAAUCCUUUCCUGAGGGUUUUCAAUGUGCUUUGCCCAGAUCCAUCAGAGGAACCACUGCCUGUGACAGCUAAAGCCUUAUGAAGUGUAUUUCUUAAGUAAAAGUAAAACUUACUCCUUGAUCCAUGGGCUACAGAAUGGAUGUUGUGUUAGCAGGCAUGAAAACAACAACAGUCUCCUUGUACAACUCCAUCAGACCUCUUGGGUGACCAGGUGCAUUGUCAAUGAGCAGUAAUAUUUUGAAAGAAAUCUUUUUUUCCGAGCAGUAGGUCUCAACAGUAGGCUUAAAACGUUCAGUAAACCUUGCUGUAAACAAAUCUGCUGUCAUCUGCCGAGGCUUUGUUAGUCAUUGGCAGGGUAUAGGUAGAUUUAGCUUCAGAUUCAAGGGCCUUAGGAUUUUCUGAAUGGUAAAUGAGCACUGGCUUCAAUGUAAGGUCACCAGCUACAUUAGUCCCUAACAAGAGCGUCAGCCUUCGAAGCCUGGAAGCCAGGCAUUGACUGUUCUCUAGCUAUGAAAGUCCUAUAUGGCAUCUUCUGUUUCAUCUGCAUUGCAAAAGUGUAGUGUAGCCACCUUUUUCAAGAUCAUAGCUAGAUCUUCUGGAGAACUUGCUGCAGCUUCUACAUCAGCACUUGCUGCCUUACCUUGCACUUUAUGUUAUGGAGAUGGCUUCUUUCCUUAAACUUCAUGAACCAACCUCUGCAAGCUUUCAAAUUUUCUUCUGCAGCCUCCUUACCUCUCUCAGCCUUCAAAGAAUUGAAAUGAGUUAAGGCCUUGCUAUGGAUUAGGUUUGGCUUAAGGAAAUGUGGCUGGUUUGAUCUUUAUCCAGACCACUCAAACAUUCUCCAUAUCAGGAAAUAAGGCUGUUUUGCUUUCUUUUUUUUUUUUUAAAGAAAUGGAGUCUCUCUCUGUCACCCAGAACAGAAUCCAGUGGUGUGAUCAUAGCUCACUGCAGCCUCAAACUCCUGGGCUCUAGCGAUCCUCCUGCAUCAGCCUCCUGAGGAGCUAGGACUACAGGCAUGCACCACACACAGCUUGCUUUCUUAUCAUUAGUGUUCAAUGGAGUAACACUUGUAAUUUCCUUCAAUAACUUUUUCUUUGCAUUCACAGCUUGGCUGUUUGGUGCAAGAGGCCUAGCUUUGGGCCUAUCUCAGCUUUUGAAUGCCUGCUUCACUAAGCAUAAUCAUUUCUAGCUUUUGAUUUAAAGCGAGAGACUUUCGACUUUUUCUUUCACUUAACACUUAGAAGCCACUGUACUGUAGGGCUUUUGGCCUCAUUUCAAUAUUGUAUCUCAGGGAACGGGGAGCCUGAGGAGAGGGGAAGAGAGACGGGGGAACAGUCAGAACACACACAACAUUUAUCAAUUAAGUUUGCCAUCUUAUAUGGGCACAGGUCAUGGCUCCCCAAAACAAUUACAACAGUAACAUCAAAGAUCACAGAUCACCAUAAAAGAGAGAGUAAUAAUGAAAAAGCUUGAAAUGUUGGGAGAGCUACCAAAAUGUGAUGCAGACACACAAAGUACGCACAAGCUGUUGGAAAAAUGCUGCCGACUGACUUGCCUGCUGCAGGGCUGCCACAAACUGUAAAAAUGCAGCGCACCUGUGAAGCGCCACGAAGCCACACAUGAUGGGGUGGGACACGUCUGUGCAUGGCUGGGGAAACAGUCACCCUUGUGGGUGUACAGCUCUUCAGAUGUUUUGCAUUAGAAUGCAGGCAUAAAGUCCCUUAUGUAUUUUUAAUUUCCAAGCAACAAUAAUUUAAAAAUCAGUUGGAGAGUGUCAGCAGGUGCUUCUAGGUUCUGUGUGGUGAGCCCCCAGGUCCUGGCGUGUAGGGCUCUGGAUGUCUCUGUACACGGGAUAGAAACAUGGUCACGUGGGAAUGCCAAUAUGACUUAUUGCUUAUUGAGCUGUGCAGGCUUUUCUGCUUUAUCAAUUACGCCUCCAGGAAGCUGUGAAAGAAAGCUUCAUCCAUCUCCCACAGGAUUUGUCUCCAUAUUUGUGACACAUAAUAAAAUGUUAUGUACUCUUUAUGUAAUUUUACUCUCCUACUCAUGGCUGCUUAUCACUUGUGACAACAUGUUAAUUUUUCCAGUGCGGUCCUUGUAGACUGUUUUUCUUUUUCUUUUUUUUUUUUUUUUGAGGCGGAGUCUUGCUCUGUCACCCAGGCUGGAGUACAGUGGCACAAUCUCAGCUCACUGCAAUCUCCACCUGCCGGGUUCAAGCGAUUCUUGUGCCUUGCCUCCCCAGUAGCUGGGAUUACAGGAGCACACCACCACGCCUGGCUAAUUUCUGUAUUUUUAGUAGAGAUGGGGUUUCACUAUGUUGGCCACCAUGUACAAAAAUACAAAAAUUAGCUGGGCAUGGUGGCGGGCACUUGUAAUCCCAGGUACUUGGGAGGCUGAGGCACGAGAAUCGCUUGAACUCCUGACCUCAGGUGAUCCGUCUGCCUCAGCCUCCCAAAGUGCUGGGAUUACAGGCGUGAACCACCAUGCCCGGCCUAGACUGUAUUUCUUCAAAGAUCACAGGCUGCUUAUAAAAGUACCCUGCCUUCCCAAUUGAGGUGAUUUCUGACAGCUAAUUACCAAAAGACAUCACCGUCUUACGAUAGCAACUCAACACAGAAAGUCUGAUGGAAAGCCAUUUUAUUUUUCUCUAAAUUUUAAAAUAGAAGACUUUAAUGGAAAACAUUUAGUACCAUCAUGUCACCCUGAAUGCCAGCAAUACCUCGACUUUUACACACGCAGGAAGCCUAGUAAAAGCCCCGUCAGUAGUACACAUUUCUCUAUGGUCCUUCAACAGUUUUGCAUAUACAAAAUUUUCUGCUAUUUUGCUUUAGCAAACAGCAAUAAACUUUUGUGUUUCCUAUAUGACACCUAAUAUCCAGUCCUACAGUAAUAUAGUUAGAAAAAUAAAAGGCUUAAAAAUUUCAUAGUACGAGUUCAUGGUGCUAAUAACAGAAUCUCUUUAAACAUAAGAUCAUUUUAAGCCUCUUACAUAACCACCUUCUGGUUUCAUUUGAAAUCCUUAAGAAUUAAAAUCUAGUAAGAUUGUUAAAUCAACGUACGUCAAUCAUUCAUUUUCACUUGCCUUGGGAGAGUUAAUUCCCACUGUCCACUGAAUGAAUGCCUUUCAAAUAUUAAUAAAUAUAUUACAGUAUUUACAAGCAUUCUUAUACACUCCGACACUGACAGGGAGUUAAGCCAUGGAGAGGGAAGCACAGGUUUCCCAAUAGUGUGACUUCAUGACGUAUGGGACAAAAGGAACCGGUGCUCAGGCCUGGAGGGAGCUGAGAUGAGAGCAGGGAUGAUGGUUCAGAUACGCACACAUGCUCUAAGACACAUCAGACUCUAGCUGAGACCAGCCAGACAUUUCUUUUGUUGUUGGAUUAGAAGUAAAACUGAACAAGAAACCAGGACACGGAAGGAAGAACUGGAAGCUAUGCCUAAAGUCAGACCAGGCUAAGGAUUUUAAAACCAAGCUCCACAAGCUCUUAGUGAAUUACCCUGUGGAAACUAUGUAGCUGACGUGAAGUGUGGAGGGGGGUGGUAGAAAGGGGGGUUAAAUGUAAGACUUUGUUUUGGCAACAAAAAAUGAUAGUAAUUUGAUUUCUACAACUUUAACUGUGCCAUGUGCCCUUUCUUACCCCACUUUCUGCAGAUUGUUUCAUAUGAACGUACCCUCCACGUGACCUCUUUAAUGCACUUGGCAAACUCCGUUAAUGCUGUUGAAGAAUGUAUGUUCUGUGCUGUGGUAAGAGGUGAUCGUAAUGCCCAAAUCAUCCAAUACACUAUCAUAAAGUGAAGUGAAAGACAUGUACUAGAUGUUUGCUUUGUGAAUGUGAAUGAAAGUCUUAUUUUGGGGGUGUAGUUUCUUAUGUUUUAAUAAAAACAGUAGUCAUUAUUU